CUAUGAAGAAUAUCUUAAAGCUUAUACAUACUACAAAAUGGGAAAUCUGGACAACAGAAUAGCUAAUCCAGAUCAACUCCUUACACAGGAUGUGGAAAAAUUCUGUAAUAGUGUAGUGGACCUGUACUCAAACCUUAGCAAGCCCUUCUUGGAUAUAGUUUUGUACAUCUUCAAGCUAACAAGUGCAAUAGGAGCACAGGUAAAUUGAGUGGGUUUUUUAAAACUAUGAGCACAUUUUCCCAUCUU